CAUAGGUGGGAAUUGAACAAUGAGAACACAUGGACACAGGAAGGGGAACAUCACACUCUGGGGACUGUUGUGGGGUGGGGGGAGGGGGGAGGGAUAACAUUGGGAGAUAUACCUAAUGCUAGAUGACGAGUUGCAAUGGUAGUGGUAGCUGUAGUAGCAGCAACGAAAAAAUGCAUUUGUUUGGGUGGAGCAUUUGGUGGUGUUAGGAAGAUGGCAGAAUGGCAGAUGCUGCACAAACUGUCUUCCUUCUCUAUAUCAUUUUACACCCUUCACCAACAAUACUCAUUUUAGGCUUCUUUUUUAAGCUUCUACCUCUUUAAUGUAAAUGAGUGUAACUGUCCCUUGAUACUGGCAUACUGCUAAUAGCAGAACACAAUUUCUAAGAGGAAAAUAAGGAGAGAACAGGAUACAAAGGAGAUGUUCAGAAAGGGGACCAGAGUAGAGCUGGCUCACAGAGCUGGCUCACAGAAUAGCCACUGGCUGAUUGCAGAGCCCCAGGGCCUUGAGUGAACAUAGGCAGUAGCCAGGUAGUGAUUAAAGCAGGUCUUGAGUGAGACCCAGUGCUGUGCUGGCUUCAGGUCUCACCCAGCACGACAUAUUAAACAACACCAUGUAGACACAAUCUGUAAAAUCCAGAGUGUGGAAAAUUCUAAAGGACAAACCUUGGUUUCUUUAACAAAAACAUCAACAGCAACAGCCAAAAUUUGCAAAAGCAAACUUAAUUCAUGAGUGUUGUGUAUGUUCUGAUUGCUGCACCAAUCAGUCAUUCUGUUUUCCCUCUCCGUUUCCUUGGGCCUCCCUAUUUUGAGACAAGAAAUAUGCCUAGGUUAUGAAAUUUGACCCAAAAAGUACAAUUGUAUGAUAUCCCCAAUCUAAAAAAUGAACUUGCAUAUAGCAUCAUUUAGUUGCUACAAACUCUUAGUUUGCAUUAGAUUCAAUACUGAAUGGCGAAAUAAUUUACCAUUGAGCUGUCUUUAGGGAUAUACAUACAUAUUCAUACAUAGACACACAUCUUUAAAUUAGUGCUAAUUUAG
rnacentral:lncRNA from 1 species